GAUGAACGCUGGCGGCGUGCCUAAUACAUGCAAGUCGAGCGAACAGACGAGGAGCUUGCUCCUCUGACGUUAGCGGCGGACGGGUGAGUAACACGUGGAUAACCUACCUAUAAGACUGGGAUAACUUCGGGAAACCGGAGCUAAUACCGGAUAAUAUAUUGAACCGCAUGGUUCAAUAGUGAAAGACGGUUUUGCUGUCACUUAUAGAUGGAUCCGCGCCGCAUUAGCUAGUUGGUAAGGUAACGGCUUACCAAGGCGACGAUGCGUAGCCGACCUGAGAGGGUGAUCGGCCACACUGGAACUGAGACACGGUCCAGACUCCUACGGGAGGCAGCAGUAGGGAAUCUUCCGCAAUGGGCGAAAGCCGGACGGAGCAACGCCGCGUGAGUGAUGAAGGUCUUCGGAUCGUAAAACUCUGUUAUUAGGGAAGAACAAAUGUGUAAGUAACUAUGCACGUCUUGACGGUACCUAAUCAGAAAGCCACGGCUAACUACGUG
rnacentral:rRNA from 1 species